rnacentral:lncRNA from 10 species
UUCACAGUAGGGUUCACGCUGCUAUGAGAAUCAAAUGUCCCGCUGAUCCGACAGGAGGUGAAGCUCAGGCGGUAAUGGCUGGCCUGUUGCUCACCUCCUGCUGUGCGGCCAGGCUCGCCACAGACCUAUAGGAUCUGCCGCCCGGGGCUGGGGACGCCUGCUCUAGAGCACUAGAUAUAAACAUCAAUCUGUGAUAUGUAUUUUAUGCUGCCAGAGGAAAAGAAAAGCACACUUAAGGCAAAGGGAUUCCAUGCAGAAAAUUGAAACUGGACCCGUUCCUUACACCUUAUACAAAAAUUAACUCAAGAUGGAUUAAAGACUUCAACGUAAGACCUGAAACCAUAAAAACCCUGGAGGAAAAUCUAGGCAAUACCAUUCAGGACAUAGGCAUGGGCAACAACUUCAUGACUAAAACACCAAAAGUAAUGGCAACAAAAGCCAAAAUUGACAAAUGGGAUUUAAUUAAACUAAAGAGCUUCUGCACAGCAAAAUAAACUAACAUCAGAGUGAAUAGGCAAUGUAUAGAAUGGGAGAAAAUUUUUGAAAUCUAUCCAUCGGACAAAGGGGCAAUAUCCAGAAUCUACAAGGAACUUAAACAAAUUUACAAGAAAAAAAACAACCAACCACAUCAAAUAGUGGGCAAAGGAUAUGAACAGACACUUCUCAAAGAGGACAUUUAUGUGGCAAAGAAACAUGAAAAAAAACUCAUCAUCACUGGUCAUUAGAGAAAUACAAAUCAAAACCACGAUGAGAUACCCUCUCACUCCAGUUAGAAUGAUGAUCAUUAAAAAGUCAGGAAACAACAGACCCUGGAGAGGAUGUGGAAAAAUCAGAAUGCUUUUAUACUGUUCGUGGGAGUGUAAAUUAGUUGAACCAUUGUGGAAGACAGUGUGGCGAUUCCUCAAAGAUCUAGAACAGAAAUACCAUUUGACCCAGCAAUCCCAUUACUAGGUAUAUACCCAAAGGAUUAUAAAUCAUUCUACUAUAAAGAUACAUGCACAUGUACAUUAAUUGAGGCACUCUUCACAACAGCAAAGACUUGGAACCAACCCAAAUGUUCAUCAAUGGUAUACUGGAUAAAGAAAAUGUGGUAUAUAUUCACCAUGGAAUACAAUGCAGCCACAAAAAAUGAUGAGUUUAUGUCCUUUUCAGGGACAUGGAUGAAGCUGGAAAUCAUCAUUCUCAGCAAACUCACACAGGAACAGAAAACAAAACACCGCAUGUUCUCACUCAUAAGGGGAGUUCAACAAUAAGAACACAUGGACACAGGCAUGGGAACAUCACACACCAGGGCCUGUCUGGGGAUGGGGGGCUAGGGGAGGCAUAGCAUUAGAAGAAAUAUGUAAUGUAGAUGAUGGGUUGAUGUGUGCAGCAAACCACCAUGGCACGUGUAUACCUAUGUAAAAAACCUGCACGUUCUACAUAUGUAUCCCAGAACUUAAAGUAUAAUAAAAAAAAAAUUUUCUCUAUUUCUGUCAGGGAUAUUGGCCUGAAAUUUUCUUUUUUGUUGUGUCUCUGUCAACUUUUAUUAAACCUGUGAUUUUAAAAGCAAACGUUCUUAAUUUUGAUCAAGG